rnacentral:misc_RNA from 1 species
UGUCGUAACAAAGUAGCCGUAUCGGAAGGUGCGGCUGGAUCACCUCCUUUCUAAGGAUAUUAUACGGAAUAUAAGACCUUAGGUCUUAUAAACAGAACGUUCCCUGUCUUGUUUAGUUUUGAAGGAUCAUUCCUUCGAAACGUGUUCUUUGAAAACUAAUAACAGUAGCAUCACAUUCAAUUAUACACAAGAAUCACAUAGUGAU